rnacentral:antisense_RNA from 1 species
GUAGGAGCUGCCGAAGGCUGCGAUCUUUUGAUCUUGAUUUUGAUUUUUCAGAUCAAGAUCAAAAGAUCGCAGCCUUCGGCAGCUCCUAC